UAAUAAGCAUUGACCGAAAUAGUAGUAAACGCGGCGGACCACCAGCGAGGGCCCAGAGGUGUGAAGGCCUGGUCACCGGUUCACGAAUGUAGCUCGGGAGCUGAUGCGCUGAACUGAUAGUAAGCGUAUCCGGUUCAUUACCGUUACCUAAUGUUGAGUGGAGCAGUCGAGUGAACUGUUCAAUUUAGGUGGUACCGCGAGCUAAUCGUCCUAUCU
rnacentral:ncRNA from 1 species